UACAGAGGGUGCGAGCGUUAAUCGGAAUUACUGGGCGUAAAGCGCGCGUAGGCGGCUUUGCAAGUCGGGUGUGAAAUCCCCAGGCUUAACUCGGGAACUGCGCUUGAUACUGUCGAGCUAGAGUGUGGAAGGGGCGAUUGGAAUUCCGUGUGUAGCGGUGAAAUGCGUAGAUAUACGGAGGAACACCAGAGGCGAAGGCGGAUCGCUGGGCCAACACUGACGCUGAUGUGCGAAAGCUAGGGGAGCAAACGGG
rnacentral:rRNA from 1 species